rnacentral:rRNA from 1 species
UACGUAGGGGGCAAGCGUUGUCCGGAUUUAUUGGGCGUAAAGAGCGUGUAGGCGGCUUCACAGGUCCGCUGUGAAAACUCGAGGCUUAACCUCGAGCUGUCGGCGGAAACCACCUGGCUAGAGUCCGGAAGAGGAGAAUGGAAUUCCCGGUGUAGCGGUGAAAUGCGCAGAUAUCGGGAAGAACACCCGUGGCGAAGGCGGUUCUCUGGGACGGUACUGACGCUGAGACGCGAAAGCGUGGGGAGCGAACAGG